rnacentral:rRNA from 1 species
UNGAGCGGGUAUAGAGAAGCUUGCUUCUCUUGUANAGCGGCGGACGGGAUGAGUAAAGCCUAGGAAUCUGCCUGGAUAGGUGGGGGAUAACGUUCGGAAACGGACGCUAAUACCGCAUACGUCCUACGGGAGAAAGCAGGGGACCUUCGGGCCUUGCGCUAUCANAUGAGCCUAGGUCGGAUUAACUAGUUGGUGAGGUAAUGGCUCACCAAGGCGACGAUCCGUAACUGGUCUGAGAGGAUGAUCAGUCACACUGGAACUGAGACACGGUCCAGACUCCUACGGGAGGCAGCAGUGGGGAAUAUUGGACAAUGGGCGAAAGCCUGAUCCAGCCAUGCCGCGUGUGUGAAGAAGGUCUUCGGAUUGUAAAGCACUUUAAGUUGGGAGGAAGGGCAUUAACCUAAUACGUUANUGUUUUGACGUUACCGACANAAUAAGCACCGGCUAACUCUGUGCCANCAGCCGCGGUAAUACAGAGGGUGCAAGCGUUAAUCGGAAUUACUGGGCGUAAAGCGCGCGUANGUGGUUUGUUAAGUUGGAUGUGAAAUCCCCGGGCUCAACCUGGGAACUGCAUUCAAAACUGACUGACUAUAGUAUGGU